rnacentral:rRNA from 1 species
AAUAGAUACCCAGGUAGUCCACGCCGUAAACGAUGAAUACUAGGUGUGGGAGUUGUCAUGACUUCCGUGCCGCAGUUAACACAAUAAGUAUUCCGCCUGGGGAGUACGGUCGCAAGAUUAAAACUCAAAGGAAUUGACGGGGGCCCGCACAAGCAGCGGAACAUGUGGUUUAAUUCGAAGCAACGUGAAGAACCUUACCUAGACUUGACAUCUCCUGAAUUACUCGUAAUAGAGGAAGCCCUUCGGGGCAGGAAGACAGGUGGUGCAUGGUUGUCGUCAGCUCGUGUCGUGAGAUGUUGGGUUAAGUCCCGCAACGAGCGCAACCCUUGUCGUUAGUUGCUACCAUUAAGUUGAGCACUCUAGCGAGACUGCCGCGGUUAACGCGGAGGAAGGUGGGGAUGACGUCGAAAUCAUCAUGCCCCUUAUGUCUAGGGCUACACACGUGCUACAAUGGUGAGUACAACGAGAACCAAGACCGCGAGGUGGAGGAAAACCUCAAAAACCUCAUCCCAGUUCGGAUUGCAGGCUGCAACUCG